rnacentral:lncRNA from 1 species
AGGUUUGGGGAAAAUGGGAAUGGAACCAGAGGUCUUUCUACUUUCUUUGGUUAGGUGUUCUUCCUCUUCAAAUUGAUUCCAAUACUCCAUGUCAUUCCUCCUAACACCGGCCCCCUCCCAAAGGAGAGUUUUAUCUUAAUAGAUACUGAGACAUUCCUGAAGAGGACAUUUCCUCAUCACCUGUGUACAAAACAGCCUCAAGGACGUGGGAGGAAGAAGGUGCUCUAGAAGACUUGGCUGAUGCAUUAUGAUGGGCAAUUGAGGCAAGGGGCUUGGCUCAGCUGAAUCAAUUAGAGAUGCCC